rnacentral:rRNA from 1 species
AGAGUUUGAUCCUGGCUCAGGAUGAACGCUGGCGGCGUGCUUAACACAUGCAAGUCGAACGGUGAAGCCAAGCUUGCUUGGUGGAUCAGUGGCGAACGGGUGAGUAACACGUGAGCAACCUGCCCUGGACUCUGGGAUAAGCGCUGGAAACGGCGUCUAAUACUGGAUAUGAGCUCUCAUCGCAUGGUGGGGGUUGGAAAGAUUUUUCGGUCUGGGAUGGGCUCGCGGCCUAUCAGCUUGUUGGUGAGGUAAUGGCUCACCAAGGCGUCGACGGGUAGCCGGCCUGAGAGGGUGACCGGCCACACUGGGACUGAGACACGGCCCAGACUCCUACGGGAGGCAGCAGUGGGGAAUAUUGCACAAUGGGCGGAAGCCUGAUGCAGCAACGCCGCGUGAGGGAUGACGGCCUUCGGGUUGUAAACCUCUUUUAGCAGGGAAGAAGCGUGAGUGACGGUACCUGCAGAAAAAGCGCCGGCUAACUACGUGCCAGCAGCCGCGGUAAUACGUAGGGCGCAAGCGUUAUCCGGAAUUAUUGGGCGUAAAGAGCUCGUAGGCGGUUUGUCGCGUCUGCUGUGAAAUCCCGAGGCUCAACCUCGGGCCUGCAGUGGGUACGGGCAGACUAGAGUGCGGUAGGGGAGAUUGGAAUUCCUGGUGUAGUGGUGGAAUGCGCAGAUAUCAGGAGGAACACCGAUGGCGAAGGCAGAUCUCUGGGCCGUAACUGACGCUGAGGAGCGAAAGGGUGGGGAGCAAACAGGCUUAGAUACCCUGGUAGUCCACCCCGUAAACGUUGGGAACUAGUUGUGGGGACCAUUCCACGGUUUCCGUGACGCAGCUAACGCAUUAAGUUCCCCGCCUGGGGAGUACGGCCGCAAGGCUAAAACUCAAAGGAAUUGACGGGGACCCGCACAAGCGGCGGAGCAUGCGGAUUAAUUCGAUGCAACGCGAAGAACCUUACCAAGGCUUGACAUAUACGAGAACGGGCCAGAAAUGGUCAACUCUUUGGACACUCGUAAACAGGUGGUGCAUGGUUGUCGUCAGCUCGUGUCGUGAGAUGUUGGGUUAAGUCCCGCAACGAGCGCAACCCUCGUUCUAUGUUGCCAGCACGUAAUGGUGGGAACUCAUGGGAUACUGCCGGGGUCAACUCGGAGGAAGGUGGGGAUGACGUCAAAUCAUCAUGCCCCUUAUGUCUUGGGCUUCACGCAUGCUACAAUGGCCGGUACAAAGGGCUGCAAUACCGUGAGGUGGAGCGAAUCCCAAAAAGCCGGUCCCAGUUCGGAUUGAGGUCUGCAACUCGACCUCAUGAAGUCGGAGUCGCUAGUAAUCGCAGAUCAGCAACGCUGCGGUGAAUACGUUCCCGGGUCUUGUACACACCGCCCGUCAAGUCAUGAAAGUCGGUAACACCUGAAGCCGGUGGCCCAACCCUUGUGGAGGGAGCCGUCGAAGGUGGGAUCGGUAAUUAGGACUAAGUCGUAACAAGGUAACC